ACGCUAGCUACAGGCUUAACACAUGCAAGUCGAGGGGCAGCAUGAACUUAGCUUGCUAAGUUUGAUGGCGACCGGCGCACGGGUGAGUAACACGUAUCCAACCUGCCGAUGACUCGGGGAUAGCCUUUCGAAAGAAAGAUUAAUACCCGAUGGCAUAGUUCUUCCGCAUGGUAGAACUAUUAAAGAAUUUCGGUCAUCGAUGGGGAUGCGUUCCAUUAGGUUGUUGGCGGGGUAACGGCCCACCAAGCCUUCGAUGGAUAGGGGUUCUGAGAGGAAGGUCCCCCACAUUGGAACUGAGACACGGUCCAAACUCCUACGGGAGGCAGCAGUGAGGAAUAUUGGUCAAUGGACGAGAGUCUGAACCAGCCAAGUAGCGUGAAGGAUGACUGCCCUAUGGGUUGUAAACUUCUUUUAUACGGGAAUAAAGUGAGGCACGUGUGCCUUUUUGUAUGUACCGUAUGAAUAAGGAUCGGCUAACUCCGUGCCAGCAGCCGCGGUAAUACGGAGGAUCCGAGCGUUAUCCGGAUUUAUUAGGUUUAAAGGGAGCGUAGGCGGACGCUUAAGUCAGUUGUGAAAGUUUGCGGCUCAACCGUAAAAUUGCAGUUGAUACUGGGUGUCUUGAGUACAGUAGAGGCAGGCGGAAUUCGUGGUGUAGCGGUGAAAUGCUUAGAUAUCACGAAGAACUCCGAUUG
rnacentral:rRNA from 1 species